AGCAGCCGCGGUAAUUCCAGCUCCAAUAGCGUAUAUUAAAGUUGUUGCAGUUAAAAAGCUCGUAGUUGAAUUUCGGGAUCAAUAUGUUGGUCGUGCCUUGGUACGUACUGGCGUCAUUGGUUUCUACCUUCUGAAGAACCUCGAUGUCAUUAAUUUGGUGUCUUGGGGAAUCAGGACUGUUACUUUGAAAAAAUUAGAGUGUUUAAAGCAAGCUCACGCUUGAAUACAUUAGCAUGGAAUAAUGAAAUAGGACGUUUGAUUCUAUUUUGUUGGUUUCUAGGAUCGACGUAAUGAUUAAUAGGGAUAGUUGGGGGCAUUAGUAUUCAAUUGUCAGAGGUGAAAUUCUUGGAUUUAUUGAAGACUAACUACUGCGAAAGCAUUUGCCAAGGAUGUUUUCAUUAANCAAGAACGAAAGUUAGGGGAUCGAAGACGAUCAGAUACCGUCGUAGUCUUAACCAUAAACUAUGCCGACUAGGGAUCGGAUGAUGUUAAUUUUUUAAUGACUCAUUCGGCGCCUUAC
rnacentral:misc_RNA from 1 species